UACGAAGGGGGCUAGCGUUGUUCGGAAUUACUGGGCGUAAAGCGCACGUAGGCGGACUACUAAGUCAGGGGUGAAAUCCCGGGGCUCAACCCCGGAACUGCCUUUGAUACUGAUAGUCUCGAGUCCGGAAGAGGUGAGUGGAAUUCCGAGUGUAGAGGUGAAAUUCGUAGAUAUUCGGAAGAACACCAGUGGCGAAGGCGACUCACUGGACACAUAUUGACGCUGAGGUGCGAAAGCGUGGGGAGCAAACAGG
rnacentral:rRNA from 1 species